GACGAACGCUGGCGGCGUGCUUAACACAUGCAAGUCGAACGGAAAGGCCCUGCUUUUGUGGGGUGCUCGAGUGGCGAACGGGUGAGUAACACGUGAGUAACCCGCCCUUGACUUUGGGAUAACUUCAGGAAACUGGGGCUAAUACCGGAUAGGAGCUCCUGCUGCAUGGUGGGGGUUGGAAAGUUUCGGCGGUUGGGGAUGGACUCGCGGCUUAUCAGCUUGUUGGUGGGGUAGUGGCUUACCAAGGCUUUGACGGGUAGCCGGCCUGAGAGGGUGACCGGCCACAUUGGGACUGAGAUACGGCCCGGACUCCUACGGGAGGCAGCAGUGGGGAAUAUUGCACAAUGGGCGGAAGCCUGAUGCAGCAACGCCGCGUGCGGGAUGACGGCCUUCGGGUUGUAAACCGCUUUCGCCUGUGACGAAGCGUGAGUGACGGUAAUGGGUAAAGAAGCACCGGCUAACUACGUGCCAGCAGCCGCGGUGAUACGUAGGGUGCGAGCGUUGUCCGGAUUUAUUGGGCGUAAAGGGCUCAUAGGUGGUUGAUCGCGUCGGAAGUGUAAUCUUGGGGCUUAACCCUGAGCGUACUUUCGAUACGGGUUGACUUGAGGAAGGUAGGGGAGAAUGGAAUUCCUGGUGGAGCGGUGGAAUGCGCAGGUAUCAGGAGGAACACCAGUGGCGAAGGCGGUUCUCUGGGCCUUUCCUGACGCUGAGGAGCGAAAGCGUGGGGAGCGAACAGGCUUAGAUACCCUGGUAGUCCACGCUGUAAACGGUGGGUACUAGGUGUGGGGUCCAUUCCACGGGUUCCGUGCCGUAGCUAACGCUUUAAGUACCCCGCCUGGGGAGUACGGCCGCAAGGCUAAAACUCAAAGGAAUUGACGGGGCCCCGCACAAGCGGCGGAGCAUGCGGAUUAAUUCGAUGCAACGCGUAGAACCUUACCUGGGUUUGACAUGGAUCGGGAGUGCUCAGAGAUGGGUGUGCCUCUUUUGGGGUCGGUUCACAGGUGGUGCAUGCCUGUCGUCAGCUCGUGUCGUGAGAUGUUGGGUUAAGUCCCGCAACGAGCGCAACCCUUGUUCACUGUUGCCAGCACGUUAUGGUGGGGACUCAGUGGAGACCGCCGGGGUCAACUCGGAGGAAGGUGGGGAUGACGUCAAGUCAUCAUGCCCCUUAUGUCCAGGGCUUCACGCAUGCUACAAUGGCUGGUACAGAGAGUGGCGAGCCUGUGAGGGUGAGCGAAUCUCGGAAAGCCGGUCUCAGUUCGGAUUGGGGUCUGCAACUCGACCUCAUGAAGUCGGAGUCGCUAGUAAUCGCAGAUCAGCAACGCUGCGGUGAAUACGUUCCCGGG
rnacentral:rRNA from 1 species